rnacentral:rRNA from 1 species
UACGAAGGGGGCUAGCGUUGCUCGGAAUCACUGGGCGUAAAGCGCGCGUAGGCGGUGAUCUUUGUCAGGGGUGAAAUCCCGAGGCUCAACUUCGGAAUUGCCUUUGAAACGGGAUCGCUUGAGUCCGAGAGAGGAUGGCGGAAUUCCUAGUGUAGAGGUGAAAUUCGUAGAUAUUAGGAAGAACACCGGUGGCGAAGGCGGCCAUCUGGCUCGGUACUGACGCUCAGGCGCGAAAGCGUGGGGAGCAAACAGG